CACCCCUCAAGCCUGGCUUGGUGUUGGGCGACGUCCUCUUUUGGGACGCGCCUCAAAACGCUCGGCGGCGUGGCACCGGCUUUAAGCGUAGCAGAAUCUUAUCUUUCGCUUUGAAAGUCGGGGCCACAUCUGCCGGAAGGCCUACUCGCAA
rnacentral:misc_RNA from 1 species